UUCGUUAGAAAUAUCUCCCGUAGGAUAUUCCUUCAGUGGUUCAUGAAAAUCCCUACUACCAUCAAACAUCACGACAAAUGUCCCACCGUGCUGAAUAAAUAGCUGAUGAGUCAUAUCAUACGAUCGUUGACCACCAAAGUCGAUCAGAUCUGAAGGGGCAAUCUUGAUUUUAUAUUGACCGCUUUGAACUUCUUUUAAAAUGUCGUCACGUACAGCAAAUGCUUCAAUUUUGUU
rnacentral:lncRNA from 1 species